UGGAAAUGAUGAAAUGGAGAUUAUUGGCUACGUGUCUGGAAGAGAUGGAGUAUGUUUUAAUGUGGUUAUUUAUCAAUGGUAAGUGAUAUUUAUCAAGGUAAUUAAUGUAAGUGUGUGUGUGUGUGUGUGUGUGUGUGUGUGUGUGUGGGGAAGCUGGCAAUAUGGAUCUGAUUUAAUUUGUUAACAUCAGUGCUGAUAUUGAAGUGCAUCUGAGGGCAAUCUCAUUUCAUGUAAGGGGCCUAAGUGUGAUUUUGCUGAUGAUUAGAACCUCAUACAGUCCAUUUUGCCAGCUUGGAUAUGCCAGAAUUCUCCAACAGGGUGGCACUUCAGUGACCCUGUCAGCUGAUCCAA